CUCGUAGGCGGUUCGUCGCGUCCGGUGUGAAAGUCCAUCGCUUAACGGUGGAUCCGCGCCGGGUACGGGCGGGCUUGAGUGCGGUAGGGGAGACUGGAAUUCCCGGUGUAACGGUGGAAUGUGUAGAUAUCGGGAAGAACACCAAUGGCGAAGGCGGGUCUCUGGGCCGUUACUGACGCUGAGGAGCGAAAGCGUGGGGAGCGAACA
rnacentral:rRNA from 1 species